GAAGAAGCGAGGUGUUGGUGAAGAGGCCUAUGAGUUAUCACUGCUCUGAGCACAAAGGGACACUGGCGACUCCUGCCCCCAGCCAGGUCAAACCCUCAGAAGCCCAGCUCUGUCGACUCCUGGCUAGACUGGGGCUCCGGGAAGAACAGUACAUGUCGUGCUUCUAGGAGCUUCUGCUCCAGUGUGGGAGGCAGAUGCACGAAGAAGUACCAGCCUGUGGCAUGGUGAGUGCCACCGACAAUUCAGGCACAGUUUUACAGGAGAGAGAUGCAGAAAUUGCUCCCCACACCCCUGCUGUCUCCUGGUGACCAGAAGGUCCACAUGGAUGACCCUCAAGUGCUAGCCCCUUGGUUCUCUGUCCACUCCUGCCUGGUGGCUCUUUCCUCCUCCCCUUGGUCACACCCUGGACCUGAUCAUGGCUUGGAGCCCAUUCCUGUGAAGUCUGAAUCAGGCUCCCCUCUGGGAUGUGGUGCAGCCACAAAGCCCACCACCCUCCUCCACUGUGAGAGGCCUUGGACCUUGCUUUCGGCUCUGUCUUCCCAGUCUCUGCCUCUCUAGCUUCAUGAGCAGUCAUUUUAACUGCUUUUUGAUUGUGGUCCCCUGUUGGUCCCCAGAUCUGGAUGACAGCUGUGGCCGGUGUCUCCAUGGCACCUCUGUCACGGCUGACCCCAGGCACCCCAUGGCCUCCAUCCUGAGCCCAGUCCUCCUUCCUCCACAGGGGCUUCUUCACGCUCUACUCUCCCCACCCUCGGUCCUUGCCUCCUGCUCAUCUCCUUCACUGGAGACAGCGUCCCUGGCAGUUGGAGUAGGGCCGAGGGCUCCUCCCUGACUCCCUGCCCAAUUGCAGGUUACCUCGGCAGACUGUUUCCACGGGUUGGCGUAAUGAAAACGAGCAUCUCAGUUGUACAGCACAGACAACUCGGCCCCCAGUGCUAACGGGGGCCUGGACUCAUCAUGGGCCCUCCACUCUGAGAGCCUCGGGAGGCUUCCAUCCUUCUUUCUGCUGCUGAAGUCAGGUUGGUAUUAUUCUCCUCCAUGAGGUCUUUCUCGUCAUCAAACACCCUUAGCUUUUUGCAGCUCUUCAUCCCCUUUCCCAGCUUGGAUAGAUGCACAUCUUUCCUUUUCCAGUGCCCAGGCAGAUGAAUGUCUGGUUACUUGAUAAUGGGCCUGGAUUUGGGGCUGUUUAUAAGCUCAUAUGUUCACCAUUCACUUCUUGCCCAUAUUCCAGGCCCAGACCUUGGCCCAAUGGUACCCCCCCACCCCUGGAAUCCCUUGGAAAUUACACACCGUUGGUUCCCCCUGUUGCAAAAACAACACAGCUUUAAAACCACAGUGCCCCCAGAGGCCACACGAUGGUGCUGUCUGCAUCCUCAGGCCAGGAGUCUGUUCCCUCCUCUAUAAUAUUCACGCUGUGAGCACUGUGCCUAGCGCUUCACGGAUGCGGCUUUACUAGAUCCUUACAACAGCUGUGAGGAUUAUACUAAAAUUACACCAUCAGUGGCCGGGGUCAUGAGGCUCUGGUGGCUGAGGCUGGUUCAAAUCUGAUGCUCAAAUCUGACGUUCUUGGCUCAUGCCCAGUUCCUCCCCCUGCUCUACACUGCUUUCUGGGCUCCUGGUGACUGAGCCAUGCUUUUCAGCAGCUGCCCACUUGAGGCUUUUAGUGCAUAAGCCCCUCACUCGCUCGGCACUUCAUGUCACCUGCCUGUGCUGAAUCCUGGGUGGGGACAGAGACAAGUGCAGGGAGGCACCACUCGGCCCUGCUGCUGAGGAGAACCCGCCCGGAGGGAAGACACGCAGGACAAGGUAUGUCAGGCCCCCGCCCUCUUCCUUCCAUCAGUCCUGUGAGCUCACCAAGAUCCACUUUAUUAUGUGCCGGGACUUACUGAUUCCCGGCUUGGCUUGAGUCCUCGGGAGCCUCAGAGGCUCAUGUUUCUCUUGCAAAAAACAAACCAUCACUCUGAGAGGUUGUGCCUUUAGUCCUGGUGGACAAAGACUGUCAAUAGAGCAGGGCCCAGAAUCAGGCUCUCUCACUCCUGAGGCAGAAGCCAGUCCAUUCCCUCCCUCCUUUCUCCGGGCGUCUCGGUAGCAGGAAAGCACACUUUCCUCGAGGAUGAGAAGCUCUGCAGAGUAAAUGGGUAGGCAGGGCUGGACGGGGAGCCCCGGGUGAAGGGAGCAGCCAGGCUAGCACAUUUCCAGCCCCUGGACCCUUCUGGGGCUGGCCUGGCUCCUGAAACCUCGCUUAUUUUACUCUUCCACCUAGAGAGAGGCACACUCUGGCCAACAGAGGUGAGCUGGGUCUGCUGUGCCGGGCACAAUGGCUCUGCUCUCAAGUUCUGCCUGACGGGAGAGGCGGGCAGCAAGACACCUGGGGCCAGGGCUGAGGAACCCCCUAGGGAAAGCUGGCAUGUGCUGGACGCCGCUGAGGAGAGCUCCACUGAGGUGGGGCAGCCAAGACAAGGGGGAUCGGCACAUGGAGGCCCCUCAGGGUGCGGCUGGAGCAGAGCCCAGGGAGGUUGGAGGGGCCCAGGUGAAGGCUGACUUCUCCCUGAGGCAGCAGGAAGAGGGUAAAAGGAGUCAGACUUGGGACGUGAGGAGGACGGGUUAGAAGUGGGAGGACAGCCCAAAACAUCUGGGUGGAUGCAGAGGAAUGGUGGCCUGGGCAGUGAUCUUGCAGCUGGAGAUAUGGGGUGGACCCAGAGGUAUCUGGAAAGUAAGUGAAAGUGGGAGCCCGGGUGGAUUGACUGGGCUCAGGGCAAGAGAGUCCUCAGCAAGUGUGGAAACGGAGGCUGUGGAGGCACUUCCCCGGGCAGGUGCCUGGGGCUGGCUGGCCAUGGUAGCAGCUUGGAAAUGAAGAGGGCUGGCCAAGGUGGGGUCACCUGCUCUGGGGGCUGCCAACCCCCAGCUCAGGCUGAGAGCUGGACAGAAUGCAGCAGGCCUGGUGCUGCCAGAUCUGCCAAGGUGGGGAGAGAGGUUGCAAACUGAAGGAGUGCCUUCAAUUUCAGCGUCUCAGGAGAGCCAGGAACCACAGAUCUGCGCCGGCUGAGCCACACAAGAGGCCUGAGCGAUGGGAGGGGAGUUCUGGGCGUUGGGGUGUGGCCCUGGCUCCGGCAGGCUCCGUGUGGACCAUCCGCCGGGCCCUCGCUCCUGGCAGGAGCUUGACUGACAGGUGGCACUUCCCUGGACAGGCUGAGCACUGUCAGAGCUGAGGCCUGGGCACGAGCGCCUCACCACGCUGGGCCUCCAUGGUAGCCACACCAGCCCCCUCCGUUCACGGAACCCCUUCUAGGAGAACUGAGAAGUCUUGAGGGGAAUACAGAGAAGAUCCGCACCUGAAGCAGCUGCUGCCUCUGGGGGCGGCAAACCCUGUUCUGUAGCAGCUGGCCAAACGGUGCUUCGGAAAACUCUGGAAGCACCAAGAGCAGCUUUUGGAUGGGGAGCAGAAAGUCAACACACUGUGCGUGUCAGGCUCAGAAGAAGAUAAAUGCGUAAUGACCAAAUUACCAUGGUCUAAAAACUCCCCCAUUGCUUCCAAAUUAGCAGAAAUAAUUAUGAUUCACUUUAAUUAGUGACUGUGGAAGUGAAGCCUCGGGCUGGUGGGCAGAGGGCCUGGUGUGGCAGCUGCGUGACAGCCAGGAGGGAGAGGGCGUGCUGGCCGGUGAGACUGGUGGCCUGAGGCAGUGGGUGUGGACGGCCAGGGCCUGAGAGGCCUGCCUGCAAGCUACAGCCAUUUGUCUGCAAUGAUUCAGAGAAGGGGCUCCCUGCCUCCACCGCCUACCACCUUCACCACCGGCACCGUGAGAACCUCCCAGGCCGUGCCGCUCCCCACCUUGUGAG